GAUGUCUCUUAAACUGGCCACCCUCUCUGCCAUUGCAUUGCUGACAAAUGCACCCUAAACUCCUUAUCCUUUCUACCUCCCCUCUUAGUGAGGCUGUCUGUGUUCAUCACUGCUUUGCCUUCUAUCAGUCUUUUCUGCUACAUUAGACCGCUCUUUCCUUAUUUCUGCCUUUCUAUCCUUGCAACCCCCAAAAGCUGACGCUCCCUAACCUUUGGCCUCGUGCUAUGAAAGUCACCGGGCCAGGCUCGGCUGCAUCUGAAGUUUCAAAGGCUAAACGGCUGUCCUAACAAGAGGCUGUUUGAAUAAGUUUCGCCACAUAGGCCUACAAACAUCAUUUGACAUUCCACUGUUUUAUACAGUGACAGCUGGAGUAGAGCAGUUUCAGGGUAUUUCAAAGUGAGAUAUCAUACGCCCACCAGAAACAACUGAAGGUGUGACCUCAAUAUAUGGGACGAGCUAAAUGUUGCAUGAAUGCAGUAAUAUCGUUAUCCUGUAGGAGGCAUAGUGUGCUAUGAACAGCUUGUGGACAAAUCUGGUGCUUGCUGGCUGUAACAGCAACUCCAUGUGGAAGUUGUCUGUGUUCCAGUGGAGAUGCUGUUACCUGCAGAGAGUCACCCCCUAGCCAGCUCUGACAUGGAAUCAAUGUUUAGAAUAUCACAGUCCUUAUUUAUUAUGGCUGUUCUGAUGUUUCUCCUCUUUCGGUUGAACUCAGUUAUAUCUGCUUUCACCACAUUGUCAUGUAUUUUUUGAUUUGUAUUAUUAAGAACAGUCUCUAGAUCAUUCAAGAGAUAUGGGCUCCUUGUUUUCAAUGACAACAUCAUGUGAAGAUAUGUAUGCCCUCCAAACUUUGGUUUGAAUUCAGAGUAGGGAUGCAUGGGAUGCAUGGUGAUGACCUAUGAAUUGACAGCCAGUGUCUGCAACACAACUGCCUGUCAGUUCUGUAGGCCACUGCUGUGUCUAUCCUACUGAGCACACACAGGGGUUUAGAUGGAGCAAAGGAACUCAUUGAUAUGUUUGAUAAAUUGUCAGAAACCUAUGAUGUAUUUGUGAAACCCCUGAGAAUAUUCUGUAUAGUAUACAUUUGCAAGUUAUUUGAAGACAAUACAAUUGCUUUGUUGCCAACCUUGGAAAUAAAGAUUGAAAACACUC